rnacentral:misc_RNA from 1 species
CAGAGUUGCAAAACUCCCUAAACCAUUGUGAACCUACCACUAGACAGUUGCUUCGGCGGGUGGCGCGAGGGCCCCUUCACGGGGGCAGGAGCGCCCCAGACAGCCCGCCGGAGGUACUCAAACUCUUGUUUACCACAGGCCUCUCUGAGUAUUGUACUUAAAUAAGUCA